rnacentral:rRNA from 1 species
UGGGGAAUCUUGCGCAAUGGGCGGAAGCCUGACGCAGCAACGCCGCGUGGGGGAUGACGGCUUUCGGGUUGUAAACCCCUUUCAGCAGGGACGAAAUUGACGGUACCUGCAGAAGAAGCUCCGGCCAACUACGUGCCAGCAGCCGCGGUAAUACGUAGGGGGCGAGCGUUGUCCGGAUUCAUUGGGCGUAAAGAGCUCGUAGGCGGCUUGCUAAGUCGGGUGUGAAACCCCCAGGCUCAACCUGGGGCCGCCACCUGAUACUGGUAUGGCUGGAGUCCGGUAGGGGACCAUGGAAUGCCUGGUGGAGCGGUGAAAUGCGCAGAUAUCAGGAGGAACACCGAUGGCGAAGGCAGUGGUCUGGGCCGGUACUGACGCUGAGGAGCGAAAGCGUGGGGAGCGAACAGG